rnacentral:rRNA from 1 species
AUUGAACGCUGGCGGCAGGCCUAACACAUGCAAGUCGAGCGAGCGGCGGACGGGUGAGUAAUGCCUGGGAAUUGCCCAGUCGAGGGGGAUAACAGUUGGAAACGACUGCUAAUACCGCAUACGAUUUGAUUGCCCAGGUGGGCUUAACUAGUUGGUGAGGUAAUGGCUCACCAAGGCGACGAUCCCUCUCUGGUCUGAGAGGAUGACCAGCCACACUGUAACGGAGACACGGUCCUGAAUCCUACGGGCUGCAGCAGGGGGUAAUAUUGCACAAUUGGGGAAACCCUGAUGCAGCCAUGCCGCGUGUGGGAAGAAGGCCUUCGGUUUGGAAAGCACUUUCAGCGAGGAGGCGUUACUCGCAGAAGAAGCACCGGCUAACUCCGUGCCUGCCGCCGCGGUAAUAC